ensembl:miRNA MIR204 microRNA 204
UUCCCUUUGUCAUCCUAUGCCUGGGCUCAUAUAAAGGGGGCUGGGGAGGCAAAGGGACGC